ACAAGUUCUUCAACAGUGUCAUGAGAGCACAAGACUGGUGUGCACACUGAAUAAUGUAUACCACCAAGUCACAAGGUUUCAAGUUCUAGAAAAAAAAUAUUGUUAAAACUUAAAUCUCAUAAGAAGUUUAUGGUGGUUUAGUGAGACGUUAAUCCUCCGAAAACAUAUAGAAUUAUAGGAUGUAAAAUUAUCUAUAUAGUGAUUCUCAUUUUUUUGUAAUAAUAUUAUUAAUCAGCCUAAAAAAAGUCACAAGGUUUAACUAGGCAAGGGUGAUGAGUUCGUAAAAGGAAGCUCAGGGACAUCAAAUCAAGAAGUCAGAGACAAAAGAUAGAGGAGGUUGAAAUGACAAAAAUGUCACGCUCAAUGUAUAACGACAUUGAUCGUAUGGUACCUCUGGUAAGUAUAGUUUUGUAGAGAGGAGGAAAGGAAAAGAGAAUCUCGGGAAAGAGAAGAUUGAUUGAUUGGUUGGUGAGCUAUUCUUUAGGAUACAAAAAAUAAUUGAUGCCGACUUCGAAGCUUCAAGCUCUCUGGAAUCACCCUGCCGGUCCUAAAACCAAGGCAUGUUUAAAUUCUAGGAUUGGAAUGAACAUGUUGCUACUUGCUAAAAGAAAUGUUUUCACAACUUUGAUUGUGCAAAACACAAAGAAUCACACUCUUUCCUCUAUAUAUGUCUCAGUGUCUGUCAUAUGAAUUUAAGUCUCUGUUACUACAUUCUCAUGAAUUGAAAUCAAUGGAAGCUCUAUUGGUGAAAGUGAGCGACU